rnacentral:lncRNA from 1 species
CUGUGUAAUCGCUUACAAACAGGCUGUAAGCGAUUACCAGGUGAGAAAAUGGAUUUUGUACCGAAAGUUGAUGGCGGCUCCCUGGUUUUUUGAACGCUGCUCCCAAUUGGGUGUUGGGGGCUAACAUGGUUAGAAUUAGGGUACAAGUGUUGAGUGAUUUCAAGUGGUGUGUGAUUUUCAUGACCAAUUAUCUUGUGUAAUCGCUUACAAACAGGCUGUAAGCGAUUACCAGGUGAGAAAAUGGAUUU